UACGUAGGGGGCAAGCGUUGUCCGGACUUACUGGGCGUAAAGCGUGUGCAGGCUGUUGCGUAUGUGCCGUGUGAAAGCUCCACGUUUCUCGUGGAGAGGUCGCGGUAGACAGCAUCACUUGAGGCUUCGAGAGGGUCGUAGAAUUCCCGGUGUAGUGGUGAAAUGCGUAGAUAUCGGGAGGAAUACCCGUGGCGCAAGCGGCGACCUGGCGAAGACCUGACGCUGAGACACGACGGCGUGGGGAGCAAACCGG
rnacentral:rRNA from 1 species